GUCGUAUUCACUUUGAUAUGGCUGAACCCAUGUAAACAAUACUCUUUGUGUGUAAAAUUUGGGAUAUUUUCUGUGUUUGAAGAGUUCUCGCUGUGCGCUGGUCGGCCAUCUUGAAAAAUAAAUUGUGAAGAGACGGCAGUUCAGAUGCAGUCGUCCUGUGUGUCAGAAACCUGGUGAUCAAAAUGGUUGAAGGUAGUACCCAAGAAAGUACAUUUACAAAGUUGUGAGGAGUAACCUAGCCUAUAUAACCUGAAGCUCACCCAAUAUGCAGUGUGUGCUGCUCUGUCAAUAACAAAUGAGAUGCCAUACACAGGGGAUCCGACAGAAGACAGCAGACAGAAUUCGUCGAUGUAUUUGAAAUGUCAUUGUUUAUUUGAAAAAAGUUACCUAUCCACA